rnacentral:tRNA from 1 species
GGGGUUGUGGCUCAGUGGUAGAGCACUCACCUAGCAUGAGUGAGGCCCUGGGUUCGAUCCUCAGCACCACA